rnacentral:misc_RNA from 1 species
GCUUAACAACGCUGAGAGGAAGAUUCUGAUGGAAAAUUGUCAAAGGAAUAGAACCAAGAAGCAAAUUAACCUCGGGAGAGAUGGUUUAACCCACAAUAUGCUGAAUGAUAUCCAUAAUCAUUGGAAACACACUGAAGCAGUCAGGAUUAAGUGUCUAGGUGUUCCCACUGUUGACAUGAAAAAUAUAUGCACCCAACUUGAGGAUAAAACCUUUGGGAAGAUCAUCUACAGACAUGGUGGUCUAUUGAUGUUAUAUAGAGGCAGGAACUAUAAUCCCAAGAAAAGGCCUAAAAUUCCAUUGAUGAUGUGGAGACCUCAUGAACCAAUAUAUCC